UACGUAGGGGUGCAAGCGUUAUUCGGAAUUAUUGGGCGUAAAGGGCGCGUAGGCGGCUGUACAAGUCAAAGGUGAAAUCCCCUCGGCUCAACUGAGGAACUGCCUUUGAAACUGUACGGCUUGAGGCCGGGAGGGGGUAGCGGAAUUCCCAAUGUAGCGGUGAAAUGCGUAGAUAUUGGGAGGAACACCAGUGGCGAAGGCGGCUACCUGGACCGGUUCUGACGCUGAGGCGCGAAAGCGUGGGUAGCAAACAGG
rnacentral:rRNA from 1 species